rnacentral:rRNA from 1 species
GACGAACGCUGGCGGCGUGCUUAACACAUGCAAGUCGAACGGAAAGGCCCUGCUUUUGUGGGGUGCUCGAGUGGCGAACGGGUGAGUAACACGUGAGUAACCUGCCCUUGACUUUGGGAUAACUUCAGGAAACUGGGGCUAAUACCGGAUAGGAGCUCCUGCUGCAUGGUGGGGGUUGGAAAGUUUCGGCGGUUGGGGAUGGACUCGCGGCUUAUCAGCUUGUUGGUGGGGUAGUGGAUUACCAAGGCUUUGACGGGUAGCCGGCCUGAGAGGGGGACCGGCCACAUUGGGACUGAGAUACGGCCCAGACUCCUACGGGAGGCAGCAGUGGGGAAUAGUGCACAAUGGGCGGAAGCCUGAUGCAGCAACGCCGCGUGCGGGAUGACGGCCUUCGGGUUGUAAACCGCUUUCGCCUGUGACGAAGCGUGAGUGACGGUAAUGGGUAAAGAAGCACCGGCUAACUACGUG